ensembl:lncRNA
AUGGAACUUCGGUCUGAUCAACGCCUCAAAAAGGCAAAGGGCCAUCGCAUUUCUGCAGAGCUCCAACAUGCAGAGCCCCUACCAGUACAAAUUGCAUAUGGAUCAAGUCCCAGUAAAAUGCACGGCAGUGCUGCUCCCUGUGAUGAAAGAAGGAUUCAAGAGGCAGGUACUACAGCGAAGCCACCAAUGAAGUGCUUCUACUCUUCACAUACCCUCACUGAGGAGGUCCCACUGCCUCCCAGCCCUCCACCUGGCGUGAUGGACAUGGGAGACACUCUUGAGAUCAACGUAAAAAGAUUCAGAUUUUCUUCUCCGGAUGGACUCACACUUCCCCGAAGUUACCCACACGCUGCCGAUGAGUUGGGCACGGGAGACACUCCCGAGAAAACGAACUCCGGAGAAAAACAAGACUUGAAGGAGGCUGGGUGUCCGUCUCCGCUCUCCCCGCCUCUCAGCAGGAAGGCUCGUGAGAUGGCCCGGCCUCCAAGUCCUCCCGUGCCGCACCUGGGACCCAUUCGCGGAGAGAAGAGGUACCGAGACUUAGGAAACAUCGUCUUCCCUUGUCUAGAUGAUGACAGUGAUCCUAAGCCUCCCAACCUGUUGCAUCAGGAGGUUCCUCUAUGUCCAAGUCCUCCUCCACCCGUGCUUUACAUGGGACACACUCACCAAAAAAGAUACCCGGAUUUGAGAAACAUCGUCUUCCCUUGUCUAGAUGAUGACAGUGAUCCUAAGCCUCCCAACCUGUUGCAUCAGGAGGUUCCUCUAUGGCCAAGUCCUCCUCCACCUGUGCUUUACAUGGGACACACUCACCAGAAAAGGUACCCGGAUUUGAGAAACAUCGUCUUCCCUUGUCUAGAUGUCCAGGGGCCUGAUUCGGUGCCCCCCGGCUGGCUGUGUGGGAGCCAUAUUGGACCACACCAAGAGAAGAUAUAG